rnacentral:tRNA from 2 species
UCGGGGAUCGUCUAAUGGCAGGACGUCAGUCUCUGGAGCUGACUAUCUUGGUUCGAAUCCAAGUCCCCGAA